rnacentral:snRNA from 1 species
GUGCUCAUCUCAGCAGCAUAUAUACUAAAAUUGGAAUGAUACAGAGAAGAUUGACAUGGCCCCCAUGCAAGGAUGACAAAUAAAUCUGUGAUGCAUUCCAUUUUUUU